AGAGUUUGAUCCUGGCUCAGGAUGAACGCUAGCGGGAGGCUUAACACAUGCAAUUCGAGGGUAACGAUAUCUUCGGAUAGUCGACGACCGGCGCACGGGUGAGUAACAGGUAUGCAACCUACCCUUAACAGGAGGAUAGCCCGAAGAAAUUCGGAUUAAUACUCCAUAACAUUUGUAAAUCGCAUGAUUUACUUUUUAAAGCUCCGGCGGUUAAGGAUGGGCAUGCUUAAUAUUAGCUAGUUGGUAAGGUAACGGCUUACCAAGGCUACGAUAUUUAGGGGCUCUGAGAGGACGAUCCCCCACACUGGUACUGAGAACACGGACCAGACUCCUACGGGAGGCAGCAGUGAGGAAUAUUGGUCAAUGGGCGCCCCCAAGCCUGAACCAGCCAUCCCGCGUGUAGGAUGACGGCCUUAUGGGUUGUAAACUACUUUUAUAUAGGAAGAAACUUUUCAACGUGUAGAAAACUGACCGUACUAUACGAAUAAGCAUCGGCUAACUCCGUGCCAGCAGCCGCGGUAAUACGGAGGAUGCAAGCGUUAUCCGGAUUUAUUGGGUUUAAAGGGUGUGUAGGCGGAUUAAUAAGUCAGUGGUGUAAAUCCUACAGCUUAACUGUAGAACUGCCAUUGAUACUGUUAACCUUGAGUAUAGUUGAAGGUAGGCGGAAUGUGUUGUGUAGCGGUGAAAUGCUUAGAUAUAACACAGAACACCGAUUGCGAAGGCAGCUUACUAAACUAUUACUGACGCUGAGGCACGAAAGCGUGGGGAGCGAACAGGAUUAGAUACCCUGGUAGUCCACGCCGUAAACUAUGAUUACUCGUUGUGCGCAAUACACCGUGCGCGACUAAGCGAAAGCAUUAAGUAAUCCACCUGGGGAGUACGAUCGCAAGAUUGAAACUCAAAGUGAAUUGAUGGGGCCCGCACAAGCGGAGGAACAUGUGGUUUAAUUCGAUGAUACGCGAGGAACCUUACCUGGGCUUAAAUGUAGAACGACAGAUCGGGAAACUGAUCUUUCUUCGGACGGACUACAAGGUGCUGCAUGGUUGUCGUCAGCUCGUGCCGUGAGGUGUCGGGUUAAGUCCCAUAACGAAGGCGCAACCCCUAUCGUUAGUUGCUAGCAGGUAAUGCUGAGGACUCUAGCGAAACUGCCACCGUAAGGUGUGAGGAAGGUGGGGAUGACGUCAAAUCAGCACGGCCCUUAUGUCCAGGGCUACACACGUGUUACAAUGGUCGGUACAAAGGGCAGCUACCUGGUGACAGGAUGCUAAUCUCCAAAACCGAUCCUAGUUCGGAUCGCAGUCUGCAACUCGACUGCGUGAAGUUGGAUUCGCUAGUAAUCGCGCAUCAGCCACGGCGCGGUGAAUACAUUCCCGGGCCUUGUACACACCGCCCGUCAAGCCAAUGGAAGUUGGGGGUACCUAAAGUCCGUAACCGUAAGGAGCGGCCUAGGGUAAGACCGAUAACUAGGGCUAAGUCGUAACAAGGU
rnacentral:rRNA from 1 species